rnacentral:rRNA from 1 species
UUAGCAAGGGCCGGGCAAGACCGGUGCCAGCCGCCGCGGUAAUACCGGCGGCUCGAGUGGUGGCCGAUAUUAUUGAGUCUAAAGGGUCCGUAGCCGGCUUUGCAAGUCUCUCGGGAAAUCCAGCGGCUUAACCGUUGGUCGUCCGGGGGGUACUACAUUGCUUGGGACUGGGAGAGGUAGGAGGUACUCAGGGGGUAGGAGUGAAAUCCUGUAAUCCUUUGGGGACCACCGGUGGCGAAGGCGUCCUACCAGAACAGGUCCGACGGUGAGGGACGAAAGCUAGGGGCACGAACCGGAUUAGAUACCCGGGUAGUCCUAGCCGUAAACGAUGCUCGCUAGGUGUCACAACAGUCGUGAACUGUUGUGGUGCCGUAGGGAAGCCGUGAAGCGAGCCACUUGGGAAGUACGACCGCAAGGUUGAAACUUAAAGGAAUUGGCGGGGGAGCACCACAACGGGUGGAGCCUGCGGUUUAAUUGGACUCAACGCCGGGAAGCUUACCGGGAUCGACAGUUGUAUGAAGGCCAGGCUGAAGACCUUGCCGGACUAUCUGAGAGGUGGUGCAUGGCC